rnacentral:rRNA from 1 species
ACACGUAGGGCGCAAGCGUUGUCCGGAUUUAUAGGGCGUAAAGGGCUCGUAGGCGGUUUCGUAAGUCGGGUGUGAAAACUCAGGGCUCAACCCUGAGACGCCACUCGAUACUGCGAUGACUUGAGUCCGGUAGGGGAGCAGGGAAUUCCUGGUGUAGCGGUGAAAUGCGCAGAUAUCAGGAGGAACACCAUUAGCGAAGGCGCUGCUCUGGGCCGGUACUGACGCUGAGGAGCGAAAGCAUGGGGAGCAAACAGGAUUAGAAACCCUAGUAGUCC